UACGAAGGGGGCUAGCGUUGCUCGGAAUCACUGGGCGUAAAGGGCGCGUAGGCGGCCCUCUUUGUCGCGUGUGAAAGCCCCGGGCUCAACCUGGGAACGGCGCGCGAAGCGGGGGGGCUGGAGUUCGGGAGAGGAGAGUGGAAUUCCCAGUGUAGAGGUGAAAUUCGUAGAUAUUGGGAGGAACACCAGUGGCGAAGGCGGCUCACUGGACCGGUACUGACGCUGAGGCGCGAAAGCGUGGGGAGCAAACGGG
rnacentral:rRNA from 1 species